ensembl:lncRNA
UUUUAAUGUCCGCGUUUCGACUUCAGCUAACAGUUAAUCAGUCUGGGAGAAUGCAAACAACGUGAUUCCAACAUCCAGCCAUGCAAGAAAACGUGCAUUUUACCUGAGGGAAGACAGAAUCAAUAAGGAAAGUCGUCUUUCUUUAAUGUAGAGUUGGAGUGGACCUCUUGUUGAAGAACUUCUCCAGGCACUAUGAACCAUCUGACUAGCCAUCCUGUUUAACACUGCACUGAGGACACUACAACCAGAGAGGUACAACAUAAUUCAAAAUGAGACACAGAUGAUAAUAAAAAAAGUGCUUUGAAAUGAAAAUUAAUACUGGUAAGACAGAACCGAGUACUGUGACUGUGCCUCACUUCAAAGUGAAACAGUCUGUAAUGGUCAUCUGCCGUGCCAGAUCGAUGGUGAAGGUGGGAAUUAUAAGUAAGAUUUUCUAAACAUUAAAUGUAGUAAAGUGUUUGUUCAAGUACUGUAGACUUUGUUGCUUGUGGAAACCUCACACAAGCCUGAAAUGUGCUUUAAACUUAAAAUCUUAUUUGCACUCUUGAAAACUGUUCACCAAAGACUAAAUUUCAGUCCAGCAGA